CAUGCCGUAAACGUUGGGCACUAGGUGUGGGGACCAUUCCACGGUUUCCGCGCCGCAGCUAACGCAUUAAGUGCCCCGCCUGGGGAGUACGGCCGCAAGGCUAAAACUCAAAGGAAUUGACGGGGGCCCGCACAAGCGGCGGAGCAUGCGGAUUAAUUCGAUGCAACGCGAAGAACCUUACCAAGGCUUGACAUGUUCUCGAUCGCCGUAGAGAUACGGUUUCCCCUUUGGGGCGGGUUCACAGGUGGUGCAUGGUUGUCGUCAGCUCGUGUCGUGAGAUGUUGGGUUAAGUCCCGCAACGAGCGCAACCCUCGUGUUUAGUUGCCAUCAUUAAGUUGGGCACUCUAAACAGACUGCCGGUGACAAACCGGAGGAAGGUGGGGAUGACGUCAAGUCAGCAUGCCCCUUACGUCCUGGGCUACACACGUACUACAAUGGUAGGGACAGAGGGCAGCCAACCGCGAGGGCGAGCUAAUCCCGUAAACCCUGCCUCAGUUCAGAUUGCAGGCUGCAACUCGCCUGCAUGAAGGCGGAAUCGCUUAAG
rnacentral:rRNA from 1 species